AGUGAGAUGUCCGAGUGGUUAAAGAGUUGGACUUGAAAUCCAAUGGGCUCUGCCCGCGUAGGUUCGAAUCCUACUCGCUG
rnacentral:tRNA from 1 species